rnacentral:lncRNA from 1 species
UCAUGUUGGUAAAUGAUUAUUCCGCUGCGUAUUUAGACUUGUGAGUCAUUAUGUCUUGAGUUAGUCAAUGGAAUAAGAUUGCAUUUAUUCUAUUAAAUUAUUCUAGAAUUUCAUAAUUGAGGUGUUUGGUUUAGAUGCCUUGCAUGCUCGUGGGGAGAGUUUGCUACGGGUGUGCGGCGGUUGGCGCGACCCCCGGCUCGCGAUCUCGGGACGGGGGCGUGACAACUUAAGUGGUAUCAGAGCGGACUUGGAUAGAAUCUAAGACAAAGGAUCAUACCCGAUAUGAGUAUAGGUGGGUAGACACUAGGGAUAUUGGGACGUUAGAUGUAAAGAAUGUGAUGAUUAUUCUUAUAAAAAAUAUAUAUUUUAAUUUGGUGAGCUUUCUUUUUAUGAAUUUGCUGUGAUUUGAUGCAUAUAGGUCAGGAUGCCUCAACGUCGGGCGAAAAAGACUACUAUUGGUGCUACGAAUGAGACACCGAACCGGCAUGCUGACAGCACACCCCAACGGGCUACGAGUAUCCCUCAGCAGGAGGGAGUCAUGAGCCCUC